AAAAAGGCAAACCCUGGGUUUCCGUGUCCAACUUUGACUGUCCGUCUUAUAUGAAUUUUCUUAUAAUUCGUAUUUUUAUUGUUGUUAGAUGAUAAAAUAUGAUUAAUAUUUUAUGCGUGACUUGUAUUUUUAAUUUUUUUUCAUAAUUUUUUUAAAUAAGACGGACGGUCAAACGUUAGGCACGGAAACCAGGGUUUGUCUUUUU
rnacentral:pre_miRNA from 1 species